rnacentral:rRNA from 1 species
UACGUAGGGUCCGAGCGUUGUCCGGAAUUACUGGGCGUAAAGAGCUCGUAGGUGGUUUGUCGCGUUGUUCGUGAAAACUCACAGCUCAACUGUGGGCGUGCGGGCGAUACGGGCAGACUAGAGUACUGCAGGGGAGACUGGAAUUCCUGGUGUAGCGGUGGAAUGCGCAGAUAUCAGGAGGAACACCGGUGGCGAAGGCGGCUCACUGGACCGGUACUGACGC